rnacentral:lncRNA from 1 species
CGACCGAUGCGCGCUAAGCCACGAAAAGCGGUGGGCACCAUGUGAAGAGGCAGACAUCUGCUACGUAUUUGAGUGUGUAUCCUACAACUGAUCUUCAUUUAGUGCAAAAUUAUGGGUGACUUCAAGAAGACAUUAGUCAAAGCUUAUCCAAGACAAGGGACAGGACUGACACCUGACAAUAUCUACUGGAAAAAUUUUCAGUUUCCAGUCACAAUACAGGAGUUUGGAUCAGCUGACUUUGUGGACUUCUCUGCAGAUGGUGAAUAUUUUGCAGUGACAGCUUCUGCUAAGGUUAAGAUUUAUAGCAGCGAUUCCAAUGAUGUGUCUAAGGGCCUCAGUAAGUUCUCAAAGACGGCCUUCGGCGGCAAGUUCAGGAAGGAUGGCCGUUUGCUGUGCGCGGGAAGCGAGGACACCAGCGUUAGGGUGUUCGACGUCAACAACAAGCAUCUGCUGCGACAGUUC